AGGUGUUGAAGCAAUUAACUGUGUCGGCAUGCAGCUGAUUGUGGAGCCUGCCCGUGGGUUAUGCGGUAACCACAAACCGAAUAGAUUCUUAGGAAUCGAACGAAAACGCAUUAA
rnacentral:sRNA from 12 species